rnacentral:rRNA from 1 species
GACGGGGGGUCCAAGCGUUGUUCGGAAUCAUUGGGCGUAAAGGGGGCGUAGGCGGAUUUGCAAGUCAGGAGUGAAAGCCCUGGGCUUAACCCAGGAAGUGCUUUUGAUACUGCAGAUCUUGAAUGUGGGAGAGGAUAGUGGAAUUCCAGGUGUAGUGGUGAAAUACGUAGAUAUCUGGAGGAACACCGGUGGCGAAGGCGGCUAUCUGGCCCAACAUUGACGCUGAGGCCCGAAAGCGUGGGGAUCAAACAGG